rnacentral:tmRNA from 1 species
GGGGAUGUAUUGCAUCGACGUGGCGUGUUCGUUCACAUCUGCAGCUCGUCUUCGACCAAAGACGUUAACAAGGUCAAACAAAAGCUGUCAAUAAUAUUUUCAGCACAGCUAAAAGUGCGAUCGCUUCGAUCGGCAAUUAUAUUGUCGAUUCGUUCGCCGUACCUAUAGCUCCUGCUUACGCUUAAUCGCGUAAUCAAGCAUUCAUACUUUCGGUCGCGCGUGUGCCGGAGUAUGGGUGGAAACCCAGCCGCGUGACUACACUAUGUUUCUCUGGUUCGUAGUGUCCAAGACUCCAUAUCAGAAAGGGUUCACACACCGUUUGUACAUUCACGAUGUCAACCUUCCUCAAGAUGUACUACAGCUGUAGACGAUGGAAUUGUUCACCUACGCACAGGGGGUCAUACCCCCUCAUCUCCACCA